rnacentral:rRNA from 1 species
GAUGAACGCUGGCGGCGUGCCUAAUACAUGCAAGUCGAGCGAACGGACGAAAAGCUUGCUUCUCUGAUGUUAGCGGCGGACGGGUGAGUAACACGUGGAUAACCUACCUAUAAGACUGGGAUAACUUCGGGAAACCGGAGCUAAUACCGGAUGAUAUUUUGAACCGCAUGGUUCAAAAGUGAAAGACGGUCUUGCUGUCACUUAUAGAUGGAUCCGCGCUGCAUUAGCUAGUUGGUAAGGUAACGGCUUACCAAGGCAACGAUGCAUAGCCGACCUGAGAGGGUGAUCGGCCACACUGGAACUGAGACACGGUCCAGACUCCUACGGGAGGCAGCAGUAGGGAAUCUUCCGCAAUGGGCGAAAGCCUGACGGAGCAACGCCGCGUGAGUGAUGAAGGUCUUCGGAUCGUAAAACUCUGUUAUUAGGGAAGAACAUAUGUGUAAGUAACUGUGCACAUCUUGACGGUACCUAAUCAGAAAGCCACGGCUAACUACGUG